rnacentral:rRNA from 1 species
AGCGAACGCUGGCGGCAGGCUUAACACAUGCAAGUCGAGCGGGCAUAGCAAUAUGUCAGCGGCAGACGGGUGAGUAACGCGUGGGAACGUACCUUUUGGUUCGGAACAACUGAGGGAAACUUCAGCUAAUACCGGAUAAGCCCUUACGGGGAAAGAUUUAUCGCCGAAGGAUCGGCCCGCGUCUGAUUAGCUAGUUGGUGAGGUAAUGGCUCACCAAGGCGACGAUCAGUAGCUGGUCUGAGAGGAUGAUCAGCCACAUUGGGACUGAGACCCGGCCCAAACUCCUACGUGAGGCAGCAGUGGGGAAUAUUGGACAAUGGGCGCAAGCCUGAUCCAGCCAUGCCGCGUGAGUGAUGAAGGCCCUAGGGUUGUAAAGCUCUUUUGUGCGGGAAGAUAAUGACGGUACCGCAAGAAUAAGCCCCGGCUAACUUCGUGCCAGCAGCCGCCGUAA